AGCGAACGUUUGCGGCGGGCUUAACACAUGCAAGUCGAACGGGCUGUUCCUUCGGGGGCAGUCAGUGGCGCACGGGUGCGUAACACGUAGGUAAUCAACCCUCUGGUUGGGGAUAACACUUCGAAAGGAGUGCUAAUACCCGGUAUGGCGCAGCGGUCUUCGGAUCGCGGCGAGAAAGACCCGCAAGGGUUGCCAGAGGACGAGCCUGCGGCCCAUCAGCUAGUUGGCGAGGUAACGGCUCGCCAAGGCGAAGACGGGUAGCUGGUCUGAGAGGAUGAUCAGCCACACUGGAACUGAGACACGGUCCAGACUCCUACGGGAGGCAGCAGUGGGGAAUAUUGCGCAAUGGGCGAAAGCCUGACGCAGCCACGCCGCGUGAGCGAUGAAGGCCU
rnacentral:rRNA from 1 species